rnacentral:tRNA from 1 species
ACUUAAGUAGUUUAAGAAAAAUUUUGAUUUGUGGUGUCAUAGAUGUAAUAAUUUACCUUAAGUU